rnacentral:rRNA from 1 species
GAACGAACGCUGGCGGCAUGCCUAACACAUGCAAGUCGAACGAGACCUUCGGGUCUAGUGGCGCACGGGUGCGUAACGCGUGGGAACCUGCCCUUAGGUUCGGAAUAACUCCCCGAAAGGGGUGCUAAUACCGGAUAAUGUCUUCGGACCAAAGAUUUAUCGCCUUUGGAUGGGCCCGCGUUGGAUUAGCUAGUUGGUAGGGUAAAAGCCUACCAAGGCGACGAUCCAUAGCUGGUCUGAGAGGAUGAUCAGCCACACUGGGACUGAGACACGGCCCAGACUCCUACGGGAGGCAGCAGUGGGGAAUAUUGGACAAUGGGCGAAAGCCUGAUCCAGCAAGGCCGCGUGAGUGAUGAAGGCCUUAGGGUUGUAAAGCUCUUUUAACCGGGAUGAUAAUGACAGUACCGUGAGAAUAAGCUCCGGCUAACUCCGUG